rnacentral:rRNA from 1 species
GAUGAACGCUGGCAGCGUGCCUAAUACAUGCAAGUCGAGCGAACAGACGAGGAGCUUGCUCCUCUGACGUUAGCGGCGGACGGGUGAGUAACACGUGGAUAACCUACCUAUAAGACUGGGAUAACUUCGGGAAACCGGAGCUAAUACCGGAUAAUAUAUUGAACCGCAUGGUUCAAUAGUGAAAGACGGCUUUGCUGUCACUUAUAGAUGGAUCCGCGCCGCAUUAGCUAGUUGGUAAGGUAACGGCUUACCAAGGCGACGAUGCGUAGCCGACCUGAGAGGGUGAUCGGCCACACUGGAACUGAGACACGGUCCAGACUCCUACGGGAGGCAGCAGUAGGGAAUCUUCCGCAAUGGGCGAAAGCCUGACGGAGCAACGCCGCGUGAGUGAUGAAGGUCUUCGGAUCGUAAAACUCUGUUAUUAGGGAAGAACAAAUGUGUAAGUAACUAUGCACGUCUUGACGGUACCUAAUCAGAAAGCCACGGCUAACUACGUG